GCCAAGCUAAAAUCAAAGCCAAUCUCUAUCAUCAUCAUUGAGCCAAUAGCCACUGACAUAAGUCAUCAUUGAACAUCUAUUUUCCUUCUUCUCUGUCUAUUCACACAUCUCUUUCUUUCUCUCUCUAAAUCAGUUUUUUUUUUGUUUACAAAAAAUAAAAGGACAACUAUAAAUAUUUUUCUUGUUUGUAUAUAUAUUGUUCAUAGGUUCUGAAUCUUCUGCCCUAUUGCACUAGCCAAAGGAAAAAAGCUGUAACUCCUCUGCUACAAAAGAGAACCACCCCAUUUUUCUUCGUUCUGUCCCCCACCUCCUACCCAACACAUUCAAAAUCCCAGAGAAAGAAAAACCCCCCAUUUACCUUUCUUUUGGAUUCUGAAGGGAAAGAAAAAGGGAACUUUAUAGGUUCUUUAGAGGAAAAGAAAGGAAGAGUAAAAAGAUGGGUGGUGAGAAAGAAGAUGGUUUAGGUUUGAGCCUCAGCUUAGGAAUGAGUUGCCCUCAAAAUAAUCUCAAGAAUAAUGACUUCAUUUCACCAUCAACUCCUCCAUUCCUCUUGCCCUUCAUGCAUAAUCAUCAAAUAUCUGCAGAGAGAAAUGAAGAAGCAAGAGAAUUUAUAAGAGGGGAAAUAGAUAUGAAUCGACCAGUGAGGAUGAUAGAGGCGUGUGAUGAAGAAUUAGAAGAUGAAGCUGUGAUUAUGGUUUCAUCACCUAAUAACAGCACAGUUUCGAGUGUGAGCGGGAAGAGGAGUCAUGACAGAGAAGAUAACGAAGGGGAGAGGCCCACCAGCUCCCUGGAGGAUGACGGCGGCGACGCGGCGGCGAGGAAGAAACUCCGGCUGUCCAAGGAGCAAGCAGCCGUUCUUGAAGAGACAUUCAAGGAGCAUAACACUCUUAAUCCAAAGCAAAAAUUGGCUUUGUCGAAACAGCUGAAUCUCAGGCCAAGACAAGUGGAGGUGUGGUUUCAGAACAGGAGGGCAAGGACCAAGUUGAAGCAAACAGAGGUUGAUUGUGAGUACUUGAGGCAUUGUUGUGAGAAUCUGACUGAGGAAAACAGACGAUUGCAGAAAGAAGUAACUGAGCUUAGAGCAUUGAAGCUUUCUCCACAAAUGUACAUGAACAUGACUCCUCCCACCACCCUUACCAUGUGCCCUCAGUGCGAGCGUGUGGCCGUAUCGUCUUCUUCCUCCUCUGUCACCAGUGCAGGUGUCUCUCGCUCGAACCACCCUGUAGGCGCCCUUCACCAACCGCCAGUGCCCCUCAACAAACCAUGGGCUGCAAUUUUCUCCCCUAAAACACUCGACGAUCAACGAACACAACUGUAGUUUACUCUUGUUGUGAGGGUGAAAAAGGUCAUUUGACACAAUGGGGAAGAGUCUAAACUCUACUUGGAGCCAAAGAGAGAGAGAAAAGAGUAGUGAAAAGUGGUCCAGAUAAAGGCUUGCCGCCGAACUCGACAAUAUGAAUACCGCCAUUGGUGACACUACUGGCUCAUCCACAACCUUUUCGAUGGAAAUUUUCUCGGCAAAAAAUAGUUUAUUUCAAACAUCAAUGCCACCCGAGGAAAUCAUUUAUUUACACACACGCAUAUGCAUACUUCUGGUAUGUAGAGACCAAAUGAUUUUGCGUAUGUUUGGUCUAACGUUGUAAAGGAAAUAGUCGAAGGAUAUGGGUAUUUGCCCUUUUGGAGAAUACAGAGUUCGCGAUAAAGAUUGUGAAAAUUUCGAUGGAUCCUCGAUGUUGUACUCUUUUUUUUCUUUCUUCGCAAGGGUUAAAACUUAGUGCCUCCAGCAAGACCGGACUGCUUGGAGAAGCGGGAGAAACAAGUGAUUGAGGAAUCUAACAUGAGGCUUGUGCUGGUGGUUUCUCCUCAUCGGAAUUUAAUCACACAGGUAAAAGACAUUAAGAGGAAAGCUACUGUAUUCCAUUUUCCGAGAAGCAAAUUCUCCUUUAGAUUACAUGGCUAACUGGAGCUUAUAAGUUGAAGCACCUUGCUCGCUAUUCUACUUUUGUGGAGGUUGUUAGGCAGUAUGUCUCUCUCCUUUAUGUAUUUUUAUUUUUAACUUUAACAUACUAAGGGAUCAUAUCGUAGCCCUCCAACAAUGUGACUUUUCUAAUAAUGAACAAAAGAUUUGAUUAAUGAUUGGA